rnacentral:rRNA from 1 species
GACGGGGGGGGCAAGUGUUCUUCGGAAUGACUGGGCGUAAAGGGCACGUAGGCGGUGAAUCGGGUUGAAAGUGAAAGUCGCCAAAAAGUGGCGGAAUGCUCUCGAAACCAAUUCACUUGAGUGAGACAGAGGAGAGUGGAAUUUCGUGUGUAGGGGUGAAAUCCGUAAAUAUACGAAGGAACGCCAAAAGCGAAGGCAGCUCUCUGGGUCCCUACAGACGCUGGGGUGCGAAGGCAUGGGGAGCGAACAGG